rnacentral:rRNA from 1 species
UACGUAGGGACCAAGCGUUGUUCGGAUUUACUGGGCGUAAAGCGCACGUAGGCGGCAGCACAAGUCAAAGGUGAAAGCCCUCGGCUCAACUGAGGAACUGCCUUUGAAACUGCGUUGCUUGAGUCCGGGAGGGGAGAGCGGAAUUCCCAGUGUAGCGGUGAAAUGCGUAGAUACUGGGAGGAACACCGGUGGCGAAGGCGGCUCUCUGGACCGGCACUGACGCUGAGGUGCGAAAGCGUGGGGAGCAAAC